rnacentral:ribozyme from 9 species
UUUGCAAUAAGGACCCCUGGAAAGUUCUGUGAAAGAGCCUCGAAGAUGUCCCAGAAGCUCACGGAUGGGGGGAUGUUGCUCAGCACUAUUGUGUUGGUGUCUGGGUCCAGAAGAAAGUGUGGCGCCUC